ensembl:lncRNA
AUGAGCAGACAGGCGGCAGCACACUCCCUGUGUUUUUCUCUGGGGGUUUUCAUGGCUGUAAGUGAGAAGAACACUCUAAUGAAGAUAGCCAAAACAGUCUUGCUCAAAACCAAGCACAGCCCUCUUGGGUCUGAACUCUUAUCACAUUUACACUGACGUCUUACUGAAUGCACGUAACCAAAAUCUCAGCUUUAUUCAUUGUUUAUAGCCAAUAAGAUCUUAUCCAACAUUUCUGAGAUUUCUUCUCUCUCAAGCCAGUUUUAGAUCUGGAGAGUGCGACUCUUUAUUCUCCGUCUCAAAUGUCUCCGAGGACUCUCCGGGGACGUAGAUGCUGAAUCCUGCCAUGUUUCACAAGCGCUCGUGUCCUUGAGGGCUCAUCAUUUCAGUAAAGUUUAAUGAAGUCUUUACAGUCAUAGGGAAUAAGUUGUCGCUCGUCUGCUCCCAAGUUCAGCGGAAAAUAUUAUCUGCAAAAUAUUUACUUUGUAUUAAGUUGACAGCAUAUUUUUAGUAGAAUGAUGUAUAAACCUGAAGAGAAAGAGAAUAUUGCUUAAAAGGAAUAGUUCUCCCAAAAGUAAAAAUUUGCUGAAAUUGUACUCACCCUCAGGCGAUCCAAGAUGUAAGUGCCGUCAGAAUGAGAGUCCAAACAGUUGAUAAGGACAUCAUAGUAAUCCACAUGACGCCGGUCCAUCAACUGAUGUAUUGUGAAGUGAAAAGCUGCAUGUUUGUAAGAACCAAAUCCAUCAUAAAGAAGUUUUAACUUUAAACAUUGCUUCUAGCCAAAUUAGUAGUUCAUUAUCAAUAAUAACGCUUCCUGGAAUGAAAAAGUCUAUUCCCAACAUAUUUGUUUAGAACUGUUUUAGACUAUUUUCACUUGUGAACACUGCUUGAUCUGUGCAUAUUUAUUUUCUGAUUCAGACAAGAUGGCUUUUUCACUCGAGAAAGCAAUAUUUUGGAUAGAGGACUUGUAUUUUAGCCAGAAGCAAUGGUUUGAAGUUAAAAACAUCCUAAUGAUGGAUUUAUUAUAAACACAUAGAUUUUAGAUUGCUUUACUUGUGGAUUAUUAGGAUGUUUUUAUCAGCUUUAUCAGCUCGGACUCUCAAUUUGAGAGCAUCUAUUCACUGCAGAGGAUCCAUUGGUGAACAAGUGAUGUAAUGCU